rnacentral:lncRNA from 1 species
CAAAACAAAAAAAGGAGAUUUUGUUAUCAAAAAUAAUUUUACUAACAUGAAAUUAUGGAAUUAUGGCAAAUGCCAUUCUGGUUCAACAUGCUUAAUCUGUGAUUACCUCUGUCAAUUUUUUGACUGUGGUUUGCCUUAUAAAAUUCAAACUUUUUUUAUACAGAAAAAAAAAAAGGAAAGAAAAAUACCACAAAGAGAAUACUACAGUGAAACAUCCAUGAAUGGGUAAUGCUAUGCUCACAGAAUGAACUGAGAAGUAUGUCCUGCUCUCCAAUUUUCUGAAAGAGAAGUGUAAACUUCUGAGACAGUGAAGACACAGCACUUGAAAAAGACCUUGAAGCAAGACUACAAUUAUAAACACCUCAUAUAAUAAUCUGAAACGACAACAAUGAAGGUGUUGAUCCGCGGGGUGCUCACGGGACGCCGAGGGUCAGCUCCAGCUCGCUUCGCGGCAACCGCGGAGCUCCUGGCACACCCACGCCACGCCCGCCCCGGCCCGCUCGGCCACCAUCCCUCCUGUCGGCGGGGUGGGAGAGCACUCGGGAACCUCACGUCCCCCGGGGCUAUGCCUGUGCCGACCCCGAGGAGCGCACCGCGCAAGCAGGGAAGGCCUCGAGGCUGCCGGCGCCGGCAGCAGGGGCGUCCCAGCCAGGGGCCUGCAGUUUGCCAAGGGAACCCCCACCCGAGCCCAGAACCGAGGAAGAGGGUCGGACAUACUGGACACACAGCCGCUCCAUAAAGUAAAUACAACAAAAUGUUAAAAAAAAAAAAAAAAAAAAUGAAGGUGUUAUAAUGGUCAUUGCAAUACUGAUUAUUAGGAAAGGUUUGGGUAUUUCUUUCCAACACAGGGGAAUGGUUAAAUUAUGACACACCCAUACAAUGGAAACGUUCGUUAAAUAUUACUGAAAUAACAUGGUAAUAUGUUAAUGACAUAUGAUUACCUAACUACAUACAGUAUUUUCCUACAUAUUUUUGUAUGUCUAUUUAUACAUUUUAAUCAGGACAGAAAUUUUAAAAUACAUUUAAUAAAUAUAAAUAUGUACGUUCCGUGAGAUCAAGAAAAAUUUUCAGAUGUGUACAUUCCUGUACCUCCAGCACUUAUGACAGCACCUUGACAAAGGUGUUAAGAGUGGCAGCAAAGCUUAAGAGAAGAUUGUCUGGAUCUGAUUCCUAGAUCCUCUACUCACUAGCUAUGAGACUUCAGGCAAGUUACUUAACUUCUAGGUGACUUACUUUCUCCUUUUGAAAAACUGGGAUAAAAACAGUGGAAGGGGGAAAAGACUUAAUACAUGUAAGGCACUUAGAACAAUAUCUGGAACAUAAUGAUGACACAGUGAACUGGGAUAAUGGGCAGCAGUGAACCCACUGCCUCAAACCUGAAUAAAUGAAUGGACUUUUUUUUUUUUUUAAGAGACAAGAUCUUGCUUUGUUACCCAGGCUGUAGUGCAGUGGCACAAUUAUGGCUCACUGCAGCCUCAACCUCCUGGGCUCAAGUAAUCCUCAUGCCUCAGCCUCCUGAGUAGCUGGAACUAUAGGCAUGCACCACGUACCCCACUAACUUUUUUUUUUUUUUUUUUUUUUUGCAGAGAUGGGGUCUUGCUAUGCUGCCAGGCUGGUCUCAAACCCCUGGCCUCAAGUGAUCCUCCUACCUUGGCCUCCCAAACUGCUGGGCUUAUAGGCAUGAGGCACUGCACCUGGACUGAGUGGACUAUUUUUAAAAUACAAAAAGAAAUGUUAGUAAAGUCACCUGUGUGGGAACUCAAAGACUAGAACAUAUAUUACACCUUCACUGUUUUGGACACUUCAAAGUGCACGUAAUUUUGUGCCUAUUACACUUCCUUAUGGUAAUCCAAUUACCAUAUAUUAAGAAUCUCAGGUCUUCUAUUAACUUUAUACUAAACCUUUGACCAUUAUGGUACUUACUACUAGUAGGAUACAUAUUUUAUGCUAUUUUUCCAAUGGUCAUGAUAUAUUUGCACAGUACAACGUAUGGUCUUCUGUAAUCAUCCUUUUAACAACCAACACUAUUUUGUAACAAUGGAUCUAUAUAAGAGUGCAGUGGUUUGUAGAGUUUUAUCAAACUCAAUUUUAUUAUAUUCAUUCUUUAUUAACUAGGCAAUUCACUCUCUGAUCAUUAAAUACACACACACACACACACACACACACACACACGAAUACCCCCUCAAAAACAUACAAAAAACACCCGAGCAUAAGUAACCCAAGUUACUUAUGAGUGGAUUUUAAAUGUGGUAUAUGCAUAGAAUGGAAUACUAUUCUGCUUUAAAAAGAAACAAAAUUCUGACAACGCUACAUGGAUGAACCUUGAAGACAUUAUGGUAAGUGAAGUAAGCCAGUCGCAAAAAGACAAACACUACAUGAUUCCACUUACAUGAAGUGCCUAGAGUAGUCAAAUUCAUAGAGACAAAAAGAAUGGUGGUUACCAGGGACCUGGGGGCAAUGGGGAGUUAUUAUUUAAUGGGUUAGGAGUUUCAGUUCAGGCAGAUGAAAACAGCUGUGGAGAUGGAUGGUAGUGAUAGUUGCAUAGCACCGUGAAUGUACUUACUACCACUAAACUGUACAAUUUAAAAUUGUUUAAAUGGUAAAUUUUAUUUAUGUAUAUUUUGCUACAAUAAAUAAACUGAACACACCUGAUGAGAUACACAAAUA